GCCACGGUGGCACAAUCUGGUAAUGCGCAAGAUUGCUAAUCUUGUCCCUCUGGGAUUCCCGGUUCAAAUCCGGGCCGUGGCG
rnacentral:tRNA from 1 species